rnacentral:lncRNA from 10 species
CGGCUCUCCGUGUACUCUCUGCCCUCGCUGUUGGGAACGCCUGGCAGGCCCUGAGGUCUCACUGGGCCUCAGUCUCCCCAACAGCACAACGGAGGGGGCUCUCCAGGCUUUCAGUCCCAGCUCCCCCGGUUGCCCAUGGGGGUCCCGCCGGCGGUGGAGGGAAGCCUCGCCAGGGGGCGCUGAAGGCCCGCAGGUUCUGCGACCGCCCUCCCUCGCAGGGCGCCGCCCUCGCCUCGCCCACCCUGCCUCGCGCUAGGCGCCGAAGGGGUAGCCAGCGCCGCCCGAGCCUCGCUUAAGAGAGGGAGGUGGCGGCUGAAGAACCCUGAGCCUGCCUGUGGAUACCUUGAGAUGAGGAUGUGCGGGAACCAGGCCUGGCAUUCCCUCUUUUUGGACUGUGCUGCCUCUACGACCCCCACUGGGACUUGGACUUCCUGAGGGAAGGUCGAACUGACUGGCGGGCACCUUUGGAAACCUAACCUCAUCCCCUCCAGGCUGCACACAUCCUGCGGUGAUAGUGGAGAGGCAGACACCCAGAGAGUCUAAUGCGCUGGUCCGAGAACAUACAGGCAGAGUGCCUUGGGGAGGUCAUGGCAGCAGCUGGGCACUGCCCAGUGGCUGGGCUACGCUGGUUGGUUCCAGCCUCUGCCUGCGGGGGAAGGUAUGAGAGUGGGGUGGGUCACUUGUCUUCUAGGUAAAGUAAAUCUUUAAUUUACCCCCAUGGACAAGGGUCAGGGACUGAGGAGAUGGAGCUCCUCUGGCCCCUCCUCCAGGUCAGGCUGCCUGGCCUUUGGGGUUGGGGAAGGAGCCCUGCCCCACUGGGUUGCCCUACGGCCUCUGUGCAUGGAGGUAGACAGGGCUCUCAGGAAGAGGAACAAGAAAGGGGAUGGAGUGGGCUCAUCUUUCCUCCACCUGAGAUCUGGGUCCAUGCCUCAUUCUGUCCCCAUGCCAACUCUAGGACCUAGAGCUUGUGUGCAAACACAUCUCCCUCCCUCCCUUCAUUUUACAGGUAGAGGAACUGAGACUCAAGAGUAGAAAAAUGAGAUGAGAAGCCACAGAAUCCAUAAGGGCCCACAAAACCUGUCUCUCUCUUAUGGCCUCGUCCAGCCUUGACUUUCCCAGGACUCUGGUCCCCCGUGGCCCACUAUGGGGUUGGGAUUUUGGCACAGCUCCUUCUUAGAUGGGUGUCCUUGAGCAGGUGAUUUUAACUCUCUUGAGUCGCAGUGCCCAGGCUUUCAGAGCUGCUGUGAUUAUUCUGUGACAUGGUAUACCCAGUACCCAGCCUGCCCCCUGCCAGGCCUUGGCAUUAUUAAUCAUUGCUGCUACCAUUAUCACUGGGCCAGCUUCCAGGGGUGGGCAUUGCCCGAGCUAUUGCUCUGGAGAGGCAUAUCCAGCCUCCCCACACCUGUGGCUGCAUACGGGCGAGUCUACAGCAGUUACUGUUUAAACAGGUGGUGGCUGUGGAGGGUUGGGAGGGACUAGGCUUCAGUACCAGGCAUGGACAGGCACAUGCCACAAGGGCCUCUGCAUCAGCCACAUGGAACUGGCCUACCCCUGUUCCCAUGUCCCCCUCCUCCUGACCUUUCCCCCAUCACUUCUUCCUGUCAGCUGAGAGGUACCCUGGAUUGACCCUGCCUCUCUGGCUUGGCUUUCCUGUCCCCACAGUGGGUGAUGGGGCCACUUACCAGCUUCCGAAGGGCUCCCUCAUCCAGCCCAGCUAAGGCCUCGUCCGCCAUCUCGCUGGCCCCUAGCUCCGUCGGUUCCUUUCUGGUGAGAUCCCCAGUGCCUGUGGCACCUGUCACCAGCUCAGAGAAUUCUGCAGGGGACAGACAUGAAUCAGGCAUGCUGGGGCUUCCAGAAACCACAGGCACUUAGGCUCUGUGCCUUACUUUCCCUCUCUAACCUAGGAGCGUCCAUUACUGUCCCAUCCUAUAAUGUGGCUCCUGGCUGGAAGCUGCCCUCUGCCCUAGGGUGGUUUGCUGGAAAACUCACCAAACCCAGGGUAGGGGGUCUCUGGUUCCAGCCCUGCCAGCUUGGCCGCCAGUCUGCUGUGUGGCCUGGGAUGGACUCUCAUCCUGUCUAAACCUCAAAACAGGGAGGGCAGGGACCUGGAUUGAGAAGCCAGGGCCUGGCAAGACCCACCCAAGCUGUGCUUACCACCAGGGGGUGCACUCCAGUCUCCAGUUUCCUGCCCCACCCACCCAUCCACAGGGCCUACCCAGCCCCCACCCACUCCGCAGGCUCAGCUUCUGGCUGUGGGCUGAACCCGUAGUUCUUGCUGCCACCACCACUGUCAUUCCCCCAGGUAUAGGAAGGUACACUGUGUCUUCCGAUUCUUGGAGCCAGCUCUGCUGUCCAGACCUCCUGAAGCCAGGUGUCCAGGCACCCAGCACCUCCUGCCAAUUCAUACAGAAUUCAAUUCCCCACCUGGAAGGGCUUUCAGAAGCUGACCUGCCCAACCCCUGGAUUUCAGGCAAACUGAGAAGAUUGGAGAGGGCCAAGGAUUUGUCACUGAGCAAGGAGGAAGCCAAAGACUUAGAGGGCAGAGAAGGAUGUAAUCAAAAUCUUCGUCAUCUCCGGCUUCCGAAGCUCCCUUCCAAAGUGCCCUCAAGGGCCUGGAACACUCUCAGUGACAGAGGCAAGAGCCCCAUCUUGCCCCAGUGCUGCCCAUCAAAAUGGACCCCUAAAUCCUGGCCCAGCCUCCCAGCGCAGAUCUCUCCUUCCUCCUGUAGCCCCAACUAAUGUCUGUCUGGAAUUUGAGGGGCCCUGGUCUGGCACACUGUGGAUGCUUAGUUAAUGUAUGGUGACUGACUAAUGUGUGGCCCCAGGCCUGCCC